rnacentral:rRNA from 1 species
UAAGGAAUAUUGGUCAAUGGAGGCAACUCUGAACCAGCCAUGCCGCGUGAAGGAUGAAGGCCCUAUGGGUUGUAAACUUCUUUUCUACGGGAAUAAACCUUGGGACGUGUCCUGAGCUGAAGGUACUGUAGGAAUAAGCAUCGGCUAACUCCGUGCCAGCAGCCGCGGUAAUACGGAGGAUGCAAGCGUUAUCCGGAUUCAUUGGGUUUAAAGGGUGCGUAGGCGGGAUGAUAAGUCAGAGGUGAAAGCCAGCAGCUCAACUGUUGAACUGCCUUUGAUACUGUCGUUCUUGAAUAUGGUUGGAGUGGGCGGAAUGUGACAUGUAGCGGUGAAAUGCGUAGAUAUGUCACAGAACACCGAUCGCGAAGGCAGCUCACUAAGCCAUUAUUGACGCUGAUGC